ACAUUUCAGCUUGUUUUUCAUCUUGGCUUUGUAGGAGAUAUUACAUCCGUCUCAUUAGAAAGGUUAAUGACAAGAAAGGGGUAGAGGGUCAGAGAAGAGACUAGAAAAGCUUUUGAUUUUAUGUUCAACUACACUGAAGCAGACAUAGAAUCUGGCCCUGUAUGGAUGGAGUACAUAGCCUUUUCAAAGGGUAGAGGCUCUCCCUGUGAUCGACUGUGGUGAUUGAUGUUCUUGAUAAUUUAGCUAUGGAGAUUUCUUGGCACGUUUGAAUGAUGAGCAAAAUAUACGGGCUUUGUUUGAACGGGCUUUAAGUUCACUUACAUCUGAUGAAUCAGUUGAGAUAUGCCUGGCACCAACUUUUUCUCUUGCUCUUUUGUGAAAUUUACCAACAAUGGAGGAAACCAAGCAUGUGCAUAUUGUGUUCCCUAUCCCCCCCAGAAAAAACAAGAAGAACAUUUCUCAUGCACUAAUAAAUGCUUAUGUUGUGUUUGCCCCCUUACCAGAAGUAAGUAUUUUUCUAAAUAAAUGCUGUAAAUGUUUACUCCAUUCUAGGCCUGAUUGGUAAAGAAUCUAAGAAUUAUAGGUAAUGUGGGACCUAAAAAAACACUACUGCUGUGCGAUAAAAUGCUCAAGUGUUGUUUUGGCUCCUGUGGAAAUAAUUGUUUUCCUUAAGAAAUACUGCUUACUGUGCACUCCAUUUAAUGCCUAAUGGCUUUGGUGCUUACCAUUUCUUUGGCGAAUGUUUGAAGAUGAAGACCUCCAAAUCAUGGGAUAUGGAGAUUCCACUGGGGAAUGUAUUUGAGGCUUGAUUGAAGUUUCUCUAACGUUGGGAUUUUGUUAAAUUACUUUUUUUAAUGACUAUUUGUAUGACUAUCUUCAUUAAAUUGAUACGUGGUAUAGGUGAGGCUGCCUAGUGGAGGGUCUUUAUUGUCGAAAAUUUUGGUAUGAAUUUAAUGAUCACGUGAUCAAGGGUCUCUUUGUUGCUGGCAACCAUUCGAUAGCCACAUGUAUAAAAACUUUUGCAUUUUUCUUUUUGCAACACUUGUGAGCAAUAUGGGACCUUGUUAUUUAGGAAGGCAUGACAUUUUCCAUAUUCUUGUCAGUUUGACGCGUUGUUCUUUUUCACUUGUAAUUUAUGCUAUUAUCUAGCUUUGUAUGGCUAUCAGGUGUUGCUUACAGACUUCAAUGUGAUUGUGGUUGUAGCAUACCUGCAAUUCCAAUGUGGCUGUUAAAUAUUUCUAUCUGCAGGUCUGGAAAAAGUUCACCCAGUUUGAGCAAAGUUACGGAGACCUUGCGAGCAUGUUGAUGGUGAGCACAUUAGCUUUUGGGUUGAAGAAAGAAGAAAAGAAGCACUCUCUGGACCAGGUGAAGAUGGAACAUCAGCAGUAGAGAGCUCUCUGCGGGAUGUUGUAUCACGGUAUGGUUUCAUGGAGCUUUGGC